CCCCUUUUCCACACACUCCCCUCCCAGGAAUUCAUGAAGAAAGAAGAAAAGAGACAGACAGAGAGAGAGAGAGAGAGAGAGAGAGAGAGAGAGAGAGAGAGAGAGAGAGAGAGAUCACGAGUCGAGUCGUCUUGACAGAAAGAGGGAGGAGGAAAAAGAGAAAAUAUAGGGAAUGAGAGCAAGAAGGUCUAUCUACGAGAGGUAGAGACAGACAAGGAGAAAGAGACUGGUGAGAGUGCGCGAGUCGAUCCGUCUUGACAGAGAGAGAGAGAGAGAGAGAGAGAGAGAGAGAGAGAGAGAGAGAGAGAGAGAGUGGGGUGUAGUGUUAUGGGGGUGUAGUGUGUUACAGUGUAAAGGGGGUGGGGUGUGUGAGUGCAUCAUCAGUGUGUGUGUGUCCAGCUGCACUGUGUGUGUGUGUGUGUGUGUGUGUGUGUGUGUGUGUGUAUAUGUGUGUGUGCGCGCGCGCGGUUUGCAGUGGCGGAGCUGCAGGAUGGGAAGCUGAUCCACGGCGUCCAAUGCAUGCACGCGCUGCACGCGCGCGCGUGUGUCUGUGUGAGUGUGUGCGCGCGUGCGUGUGUGUGAGUGUGUGUGAGGGGGUCCUCCUGCAGGAAGAGAAGGAAGAAAAGAAGGAAAGGCUGCGUGUAGAAUUUGAAGUCUGACUGGCUGUGUGUUAACCCGUGUCCGAGCGUUCUCUUAACCAAACGUUCUCUCACUUUCUGGGAGGGAUGGACCCUGUGGAGAGGAAGCGAUGAAAACCCGAACUCACAAAGACCCGAUGCCCGUACGUAGCGGGCGCAGGAGGGGGGGCAGUGAGGAGAGGAGGGGUAGACGUCCUCACCCCAGCCCCUCUCGAGCAGAACGGAGCGAAAGACAAACUAGAGCUGCGGGAGAGGAGCUGGCUGUAAGCUGCUUUAGCAGGCGCUCUCAGGGACAUGAUUCGUCCGAGAGUGAGGGAGAGGACCUUGUACCCCCACCCAAGAGACAGAAAGUUCAGGACUCCUCGUCCAAUCCCCCAACUUCAACCCAUUCAACUGACACCACGACUUCAGCACCAAACCCAACCUCAUGCAACAGCCAAUCACGAGAGAGCGACAAUGAAGAUGGCCAGUCGCAAGGCAGCCGCAGUUCUGUCGGAGGAAGCCUAGCCAAUAGCAGCAGUAGCAUUAGCAGCGGGAGGGACAUUGAUCAGGACAAUCGGUCAUCCUCCCCAAGUCUGUCUGCCUCCCCAUUGGCCAGUUUGGAUUCUGAGUCAGACUCCCCGGACUCUCCAAAGCAGGGCAGUAAGACUAAGGACAGUGGAGCAUCUAAAUCUGGAGGGGAGGAGAGGAGGGGACAAGGGAGAGGGGAAGAGAGUGGUCCAGGGGAACGCAGGAAUGGUGAGGGAGCGACUGAGGUGGAUUUAUGCUCACUGAAAUCACCAUCUUCCCUCUGUCCUCCCCACCGUGGAGACUCUUCGGCUGUUGCUAUGAGCGACAGUGGCAGCAGAAAGCCGUACUUCUCGCUCGACUCCAAACUGCCAACCAAGAUGGAAUUCUCUGGGCCUGUGGCAAGUGAGUCUCUGCACGGUUGCAGCCGCAUCAACCCUAAACCAGGCUCGCAGUGUGGAGGAAAAACAGGAGUGGGUGGCACAGAGUUUACCCAUGGUAACCCCAAUGUUAGCCAUGCUCCUCCACUACCCCCUCCACCUGCUCUUAAGCCUCUGGAGGCAGGGCAAAAUGUUCCAGGUGACGUUAAAACAGAGAAGCCAGAGAAGUGUGACAAGGCUGCCCCACCCUCUCUGCUCCCACAAACUGUCUCCUUACCCCAGCAGGCCCCAGCCCCUCCACACACGCAUCACUACAGUCCUACUACCUGGUCAGGUGGCCAUGUGUCCAGCUGCCCCGGCAGCUGGGCAUACACCCGUUACCCAGGCGUCCACCAUGCACCUCCUGUGCAACAGCAACAACUACCCUCUGUCUACAACCCCCCCUCCUCCGCCCGUCACCCCUCCCACCCCCCAUACCUGCCUCACUUGCACCCCCACCCACACAGGGAGUAUCUGCCCAGGUAUGGUGGCCCGGCUGAGCGAGAAAGGGCAGUGAGGGACUUUGGGAUUAAGGACAGUGGUGCUAGCACAAACAGCUGUGUCAGCACCUGCAGCACUGGGGCAACCAGUGCCAACCUGGGUCGGGACUUUGGGAAUCCACCACCUGGUCAGAACCGGGACUAUAGCAGCAUAGGGCCUCAGGCGCCAGGCCGGGAUGGACCUCGAGAAAGUCGAGAAUAUGGUCCAGGUUUCAGAGAGCGUGAUACUGGGAGAGACUUUCCCUUACCAAACCAGCAGCACUUAGCACAGAGCCGUGAGUUUGGACCUGGAGGAGCAGGAGGCGGGGGCUGUCACCCUAGAGAUAAAGAGGGUAGAUGGGGAGAGUUUGCAGGGCAAAUGAGGGAAUCAGGGGGAAAUAAUAAUCUUAGUAACAGCAGCCAAGGAAACGUUAGCACUCCAAGCGCUGGUUUGCCUUCCGGGCAGCUGCUAAGUCGUGACCCAUCCAGUUCUCCCCAAAACAGCUCAACCCACCCUCCUUUGUCCACUUCGAACUCAGUCACCCCAAACAAAGACUAUCCAUCUUCAGCAGAGGUUAGUGUGCAGCAGCCCGGACAGGGGCAAUCCAGUCAAGCCCCCUCUACAGGGACAGAGGCUCCCCCCACUGGACACUUCUUAAGGGAUUACCCCCCACCAGGAGCACCCCCUUCAUCUGUGCCUCAUCCUGGUGCAUCCAGGGAGUACCCUAGCCCUACCGGACUUGC
ensembl:lncRNA